AGUGAACGCUGGCGGUAGGCCUAACACAUGCAAGUCGAACGGCAGCACAGUAAGAGCUUGCUCUUACGGGUGGCGAGUGGCGGACGGGUGAGGAAUACAUCGGAAUCUACUUUUUCGUGGGGGAUAACGUAGGGAAACUUACGCUAAUACCGCAUACGACCUACGGGUGAAAGCAGGGGAUCUUCGGACCUUGCGCGAUUGAAUGAGCCGAUGUCGGAUUAGCUAGUUGGCGGGGUAAAGGCCCACCAAGGCGACGAUCCGUAGCUGGUCUGAGAGGAGGAGCAGUAACACAGGAAUUGAGACAAGGUACAGACGACUACGGGAGGCAGCAGCCGGGAAUAUUGGAGAAGGGGAGGAAGCCUGAUGCGGUCAUACCGCGUGGGUGAAGAAGGAGGUAGGGUCGGAAAGACCCUCUGUGGGUAAAGAAAAGCAGAAGGUUAAUACCCCGGUGUUCUGAGGGUAACCAAAGAAUAAGCAAGGGCGAACGUGGUG
rnacentral:rRNA from 1 species